AUUGAACGCUGGCGGCAUGCUUUACACAUGCAAGUCGAACGGUAACAGGCCGCAAGGUGCUGACGAGUGGCGAACGGGUGAGUAAUGCAUCGGAACGUGCCCAGUCGUGGGGGAUAACGCAGCGAAAGCUGCGCUAAUACCGCAUAUGAUCUAUGGAUGAAAGCGGGGGACCGUAAGGCCUCGCGCGAUUGGAGCGGCCGAUGUCAGAUUAGGUAGUGGGUGGGGUAAAGGCUCACCAAGCCAACGAUCUGUAGCUGGUCUGAGAGGACGACCGGCCACACUGGGACUGAGACACGGCCCAGACUCCUACGGGAGGCAGCAGUGGGGAAUUUUGGACAAUGGGCGCAAGCCUGAUCCAGCAAUGCCGCGUGCAGGAAGAAGGCCUUCGGGUUGUAAACUGCUUUUGUACGGAACGAAACGGUCCUGGUUAAUACCCGGGGCUAAUGACGGUACCGUAAGAAUAAGCACCGGCUAACUACGUGCCAGCCGCCGCGGUAAUAC
rnacentral:rRNA from 1 species